UUGAGUGCUAGUUCUGAUUUUAGAGCUUUUUUUGAACAGCUCAUUCGAUUGGUCCUCCCAGUCGUCAGCCCCAUCAAGGUCGUAAUUACGGAAGUCGACUGUAUUUGUAUUCUGUUAAGAAAUUUCACUAUUCGGACACCCCUAACAUUCACCAACCACCCAUUUCAUUCCAACAUGAUUAUUUAACACAGCUAUGGUUACAGCUUCCUAGAGUGAGCUUGUGUCAGCAAAAUGGCUUAUGUCAUUUUUUGUCACAAGCAAAAAGCUUGUGUCAAUGGCUUGUGUCAGCAAAAUGUGCACACACAUGGAGGUUACAUCCAGAGUACUUGUCAAUGCACAGUAUUGCAUGAGAUGUCUUAUUGCCAUCAAUCUUAUGUACACAGUAGAUGGAAGAGUGUUGCCAAGUCCUGAGGAAUUCUCUGGGCCAGAAAAGUGAACAGGGAGGACUGUUGUUCAUGUACCCCUUCUGAUGCUUUCAGCAAUAACAGUGCAACAUGAAACCAACAAGAUUUCUCGUUCUCAGUCAUUUAUUACGCAGUGACUUCGAAUCUGUCAGCAACGGCUCUGCAUGUCAUAUCGUGCCUUGAUUCUAGUCAUUUACGUUCAUGGUCAAAACUUGUGCUUCUCACUUUGUUUACCCAGAUCUAUGUUACUGGGAAAUAGGGAAUGCACUCGCAGUAUCUUCAUAUUCCAUUGUUAGAAUAUGUUGUGCUUCUGUUCAUGGCUGUACCUUUCAUAAUUUUCCUUCAUCUGUGUGACUUAUCUUUGGUAGUGUUCUUUGGCACACAAUAAGAUGUGCUCUUUUUCUAUGAGGCUCAUGUUCUCAUUGCUUCUAGGUACUUAUGUAGGUGUUCUAUGUAACCUUGUUUUCCUGUUAUUCUUCUCAAGCCUCUCAUUAUUUUCUCGCACAUGUUUCUUUACAGUAAUUGUUUAUAGACUCAUAAAAAUUCAGUUAGCUAAAACUGUUUCUAACUAAAUAAGUUUAACUAAAUUCACCGUGUUUGGUGAAUGUACUUUGUUUGUAUAAACCACGAAAAAUCUGUAUAACCGCGAAAAAUAUAGAAAUAGGCGUAAGCAGCCGCUAAAUUUCUUGCAAAAGCUCAAUAUACCGGGAGCCGUAUUUUCGGUAGAUAACUUUUGGGAGAUGCUCUGGGACUCGGCACCCAAAAUGUCGGGUGUCUACAGGGCAACAGUGUUCUGUUAGGCGUCUAUGGCCAACAAUGCACAUAUUCCCCAAAAAUAUAUUGACCGGGAAUACCACCCCAGGGCUGUGAUUUUGUCGGCGUGCCUUUCACUUGCAUGUAUGCCACUCUCAUCCACCGUUCUUGCCUGGCUUAUUCCGUUGAUAAUGCAGGCAGAGCGUCGCUACGACAUCUGACGAAGCGAGAUAAGCGGCAUCAGAAAGUUCAAACCCCGCUCAAAUCCUGCGCUUAAUGUAGCUCCAAUCCUGGUCAAAUUCUGCACUUGUGUACAGGUGCUCAGGAACUGGGUUGGCGGGGGGGCGGGGCAGUCGCUACAGCAGGUACGAAACCUAUGGGGGCAUGCCCUCCCACUCAAAGCUGUUACGACCAGCCCCAUGUUCUCCCCUCCCACCACCCAUGAGGCUAGGGACUUUUUUGACCAGUUGAAGGGUGCUCUCUUAGACUACUGGUGGACGGAUGAUGUUGUGUUCUAGCCCCCACCGUCUACCAUCUUUAGAAUAUGUGACGUUACUUUUUUGUUAGCGGAUGUAUCCUGUAAAUUUUCCUGCGUCUUUCUGGCUGAUUACUUCACUAGUGGUUUUAAUGGUACACAAUAUGCUUUUAUCUUUUUUCUCUUAGCUCGUGUUAUGUGUUCCCUUUAGGUUCUAGCACAUUCGCUUAUUUCUUGGAGUUCUUUUGUUGUUAUUCUGUUUCAGCCUUUUCAUUACCUUAGCAUGUAAGCACUCCUGUAUAGUAAUAGUGUGUUUAAUGUACAUUAAAAGUUGAGUUCGCCGAGUCUGUUUCUGAAAAUAAAUGGCACUGUUUCAUGUA